AUACGGAGGGUGCAAGCGUUACUCGGAAUCACUGGGCGUAAAGCGCGCGCAGGCGGUCUUUUAAGUUGGAUGUGAAAGCCUACGGCUCAACCGUAGAACUGCAUCCAAAACUAUUAGACUAGAGUGUGGGAGAGGAAGAUGGAAUUAGUUGUGUAGGGGUAAAAUCCGUAGAGAUAACUAGGAAUACCAAAAGCGAAGGCAAUCUUCUGGAACACUACUGACGCUGAGGCGCGAAAGCGUGGGGAGCAAACAGGAUUAGAAACCCUUGUAGUCC
rnacentral:rRNA from 1 species